AGAGUUUGAUCAUGGCUCAGGACGAACGCUGGCGGCGUGCCUAAUACAUGCAAGUAGAACGCUGAAGACUUUAGCUUGCUAGAGUUGGAAGAGUUGCGAACGGGUGAGUAACGCGUAGGUAACCUGCCUACUAGCGGGGGAUAACUAUUGGAAACGAUAGCUAAUACCGCAUAACAGUGUUUAACACAUGUUAGAUGCUUGAAAGAUGCAAUUGCAUCACUAGUAGAUGGACCUGCGUUGUAUUAGCUAGUUGGUGGGGUAACGGCCUACCAAGGCGACGAUACAUAGCCGACCUGAGAGGGUGAUCGGCCACACUGGGACUGAGACACGGCCCAGACUCCUACGGGAGGCAGCAGUAGGGAAUCUUCGGCAAUGGGGGCAACCCUGACCGAGCAACGCCGCGUGAGUGAAGAAGGUUUUCGGAUCGUAAAGCUCUGUUGUAAGAGAAGAACGUGUGUGAGAGUGGAAAGUUCACACAGUGACGGUAACUUACCAGAAAGGGACGGCUAACUACGUGCCAGCAGCCGCGGUAAUACGUAGGUCCCGAGCGUUGUCCGGAUUUAUUGGGCGUAAAGCGAGCGCAGGCGGUUUAAUAAGUCUGAAGUUAAAGGCAGUGGCUUAACCAUUGUUCGCUUUGGAAACUGUUAAACUUGAGUGCAGAAGGGGAGAGUGGAAUUCCAUGUGUAGCGGUGAAAUGCGUAGAUAUAUGGAGGAACACCGGUGGCGAAAGCGGCUCUCUGGUCUGUAACUGACGCUGAGGCUCGAAAGCGUGGGGAGCAAACAGGAUUAGAGACCCUGGUAGUCC
rnacentral:rRNA from 1 species